AGGAAAAGCGCGUGGGGCCGCGGGGCCGCGGGGCGGAGCCUGUCGCAGCCCGAUGGAUGGCGACGUGCCCGGCUUCUUGCUGGCCCUCCAGGCUCGGGGCAGACCCGAGGCGGUUCGGUCGCGGGUGCAGGAGCAGGAGUUACGACAGUGGGGCCUGACGGGAAUUCAUUUACGCCCUUAUCAACUGGAGGGAGUCAAUUGGCUAGCCCAGCGCUUCCACUGUCAGAAUGGUUGCAUCCUGGGAGAUGAGAUGGGCCUGGGUAAGACCUGCCAGACUAUUGCUCUCUUCAUUUACUUGGCAGGAAGACUGAACGAUGAAGGACCAUUUCUGAUUCUUUGUCCCUUGUCUGUUUUGAGCAACUGGAAAGAAGAGAUGCAAAGAUGUGCUCCAGGUCUUUCCUGUGUAACAUAUGCAGGUGACAAGGAGGAAAGGGCCCACCUUCAGCAAGACUUAACAGAGGACUCUCCUUUUCAUGUGCUGCUGACUACUUAUGAGAUUUGCUUGAAAGAUGCAUUAUUUCUAAAAUCCUUCUCUUGGAGUGUUCUUGUUGUGGAUGAAGCUCACAGAUUGAAAAACCAAAGCUCUCUGCUGCAUAAGACACUUUCAGAGUUCUCAGUGGUCUUCAGUCUCCUGUUGACUGGAACUCCUGUACAGAAUAGCCUCCAAGAGCUCUACUCUCUCCUCAGUUUUGUGGAGCCUGAUCUCUUUUGCAAGGAGCAGGUGGAAGAUUUUGUUCACCGUUAUCAGGAUAUUGAGAAAGAAUCUAAAUCAGGCAAUGAACUACACAAACUCCUGCAGCCUUUUCUGUUGAGGCGAGUGAAAGCUGAAGUAGCUACUGAGCUUCCCAAGAAGACUGAAGUAGUGAUAUACCAUGGCAUGUCACCAUUGCAGAAAAAAUACUACAAGGCUAUUCUGAUGAAAGACCUAGAUGCAUUUGAAAAUGAGAUGGCAAAGAAAGUUAAACUUCAGAACAUUUUGUCUCAGCUUCGAAAAUGUGUGGAUCAUCCGUAUUUGUUUGAUGGUGUGGAGCCAGAACCUUUUGAAGUUGGAGAUCACCUGAUUGAAGCAAGUGGGAAGCUUUACUUGCUGGAUAAGUUGUUGGCAUUCCUGUAUUCUAGGGGCCAUCGGGUUUUACUUUUCUCCCAAAUGACCCAGAUGUUGGAUAUUCUUCAAGACUAUAUGGAUUACAGAGGCUACAGCUACGAGCGUGUGGAUGGUUCUGUGAGAGGAGAAGAGAGACACUUGGCCAUUAAGAACUUUGGACAGCAGCCCAUUUUUGUUUUUCUCCUGAGUACCAGAGCAGGUGGAGUUGGCAUGAACUUAACGGCAGCAGAUACCGUUAUUUUUAUUGACAGUGAUUUUAAUCCCCAGAAUGACUUGCAGGCUGUUGCCAGGGCUCAUCGAAUUGGCCAGAAUAAGUCUGUUAAAGUUAUUCGGCUGAUUGGCCGAGACACCGUGGAAGAAAUAGUGUAUAGGAGAGCAGCCUCCAAGCUGCAGCUCACGAACAUGAUCAUAGAGGGUGGACACUUUACUCUGGGAGCCCAGAAGCCUUCAGUUGAUGCUGACCUCCAGUUGACUGAAAUACUUAAAUUUGGCUUGGACAAACUGCUGUUCUCUGAGGGGAGCACUAUGGAUGAAAUCGACCUGGAGUCCAUCCUUGGAGAAACGAAAGAUGGCCAGUGGGUCUCUGAUGCUUUGCCUGCCGCGGGAGAAGGGAGUGAAGAGCAAGCGGAAGGAAAAAACCAUAUGUACUUAUUUGAAGGUAAAGACUAUUCUAAAGAGCCCACUAAGGAAGACAGAAGAUCGUUUGAACAACUAGUGAAUCUUCAGAAAACCCUUUUGGAAAAAACAAGUCAAGAGGGCCGAUCACUCCGAAAUAAAGGCAGUCUUCUUAUUCCAGGCCUUGUGGAGGGGUCUAGCAAAAGGAAGCGGAUUCUGAGCCCUGAAGAACUGGAGGACCGACAGAAGAAAAGGCAAGAAGCAGCAGCCAAGAGAAAGAGACUGAUAGAGGAGAAGAAGAGGGAGAAGGAAGAAACCGAACAUAAGAAAAAGAUGGCCUGGUGGGAGUCCAACAAUUACCAGUCUUUUUGCCUACCCUCCGAAGAGAGCGAGCCAGAGGACCUUGGGGAUGGGGAAGAAGAGAGUGCUGCUGAGCUGGACUAUGAAGAUUCUCCCUCCAUCAAGUAUGUCAGCGGUGACGUCACCCACCCACAGGCUGGGGAAGAGGAUGCUUUCAUUGUGCACUGCGUUGAUGACUCUGGCCGCUGGGGCAGAGGUGGUUUAUUCACAGCUCUGGAAAAACGAUCAGCUGAACCAAGAAAAAUUUAUGAGCUGGCUGGAAAAAUGAAAGACUUGAGUUUGGGAGCUGUCCUUUUAUUUCCUAUUGAUGAUAAAGAGUCAAGAAACAAAGGGCAAGAUUUGUUGGCUCUGAUUGUGGCUCAGCACCGUGAUUGUGCCAAUGUCCUGUCUGGCAUAAAGAUGGCAGCCCUAGAAGAGGGCCUAAAGAAGAUAUUUUUAGCUGCAAAGAAAAAGAAAGCAAGUGUUCAUCUUCCACGUAUUGGAUAUGCCACAAAGGGUUUUAACUGGUACGGUACUGAGCGCCUUAUUCGGAAACAUUUGUCUGCAAGGGGCAUCCCAACUUACAUAUACUACUUUCCCAGAAGCAAGGCUUCUCCUGUCCUUCAUUCACAGUCCCCAUCUUCCUCCUCAACACAGCCGGUGCCUUAACAGUUGGCCAAGUACCACACCUGGUCUUUAGCAACCAACUAGUCAUUGGGGACUGGACUCAAAAUGGUGGGAUAGAGAUACCCAGCCCUUGCACGUCUUCAAGGAAGAAUCAGAGUAGCAGGUGUAUGCCUGCAUUUUGACAUGAGUGACUGGGAGAAUACUGGACAUUAGUAAGACAGAAAUUGGAACUUUUAAGAAUCAGAGACCUGAGACAGAAGCAUUGUAAAGGAAACAAAGCACCUUGGCAUUUGCCACCUCAACUCCACCAGGGGAGCAGAGUUUCUGCUACACAUGUGAGAGCGUGGGAGUCUCAGCAAACGUUUGGCAGUCGAUGGCAAGCCUAUCUACUAGAAAGUUUCACAAUCCUCACAGGCUUACAACCCGCCUAGAGAAACUAAAAACAAAAUGGAGGAGAAAGAAGGGAAAGAGAGGAGAGAAAAAACACAAGAGAAGAGAAGAGAAGAGAAGAGAAGAGAGGAGAAGAGAAUCCCUUUUAAAAAGCACUACAUCUCUAAUUAUCUCCUAUAAUUGGAAACUUUUUAAAAAAUGGGAUGAUAAAUUAAGUCAUCCUUAAGAUAAUAGUCAUUCCUUGUUAUCUGCAGGAAUUUGUUCUAGAUACGAACAUCCAUGAAUGUUCAGGUGUCUUAAGAUGGCAUAAGGUACACGUAAUGCUUUUGUACUCUUUGUCAUUUCUAAGCACUAAUAGUAGUGUAAUAUAAGUGAUGUAUGCAUAAUUGUUAUAUUGUGCUGUUCAGGAGGAAGUGGAAAUGCUACUCUAAGAGUUUCAAAGUAUACUAAGCAUUAUUACAUUUUUAAAGACACUGCACUAAGUCAAAGGUGCCUUUUUGAACUGUUCAGCAGUGCUUGCAAGUGGGAAUCUUUGAGCCAUAAAUGUAAUUUGAAAUUUUGUAGUAGCCACAUUAAAAUCUAAAAGUAAACAAAAUUAAUGACUUUAACUUAAUCUAUUCAAAAUAUUAUCAUUUCAGUAAAAAACAAAAAAUAUUAGUAGAAUAUUUUUUCAUGCCAAGACUGAAUUCUGGUAUGUAUUUUAUACUUUCAGCACAUCUUAAUUUCACUGAGAUGUAAAUUUUCAUUGGAAACACAAUCUCUAUAUGGAUUUAAUAGAAUUAGUAGUUGAAAAAAUAUAUGCCUUCCCAUGAAGUAAGUGCCACCAGGCUGAUCUGAAAAGAGCCCUAUCCAGAAGAGAAACUAUGUCUUCUUGUGAGCCAGCCAGUCCAUGGGCUGAGAAACCAGUGAGGACUCAGGAUGAGAUGAUAGCAACUGAAGGGAAGGGAACAGCUCAAUGCUUGUACUGUUUGGUUGACUCUGUAGGCCUGGGCUGGUGGUCUGGGCAUCUACCUGGAGGAUAGCAGUGUGCGUGUCAGCUGUGGAGGAUAUCCUCUUGUAUUGUUUUUGAAAUCCAGUGUGUUGUUCCAUUUUAUUGUUUUGUUUUAUUCCUGCAUCUGGUAGCCUGAGCAGCUAUUUUGAAGAUAACAGUGUGUGGUAUUGUUCUCACUGUUUUGUUUUGUUCUAAUUUAUUGUUUUAUUUUAUUCAGUAUUAUGUUUUGAUUGGUUUUAUUCUGUUUUGUUUUGUUUGAUUUUGCUGUGUCUGAUGGUAUGGACAACUAUUGUGAAGAUAGCAAGAUAUAUUAUGAUAACCAUUGUUGAUUUCCUAUUGUCCUGUUUUGAAAUUUUGUGCCACUCUCACUGCUGUGUUUUGAUUGGGUUUAUUUUGUUUUGUUGGGUUUUGUUCUCUUUAAAAUAAAAAAAAUAGUUGAAAAAAUAGAUUCCCAUACUCAAAUUAUACUAAACAUACUUAACAUUUUUAAAAUUUUAUUUUGAAGAUAGUAAAAAUGCAACAGCACAAGACAGAACAAAGCCAAUUGAGACAAUGCAGUGAAAUUGGUACGGGAUUUCACAGUAGGAUACUGGGAUAGUAGUAAUAGGUACUAUGGUAUAUCUCUUUAACUUCACAAUAGUUGUCCAGUCAAUUAGGUAUAGCAAAAUCAAACCAAAAAUAGAACAUUAUAAAACCAAUUGAGAAUACUGAAUAGAGCAAAAGAAACAUAACAAAACAAAACAGUGAAAACAACCUUUGCCUUCAAACAGAAGAUAGAAGGAAAUCCCCCAUAUUUGCUAUACUGCAUAUGGUCAUCCUCCCAAGAGAUACUAAGACAUCUAUCCUCAGUAGCUAUGGGGAGGUCGGUUGGGGGAGGGUGCUUGAUUUUCAGCUCAUGUGGCAGUAGGCUCACAGGUAAUGGUUCUCCUCCAGGCCCUCACUGCAGGUGCUUACCAAGAGGGCGGGUGAAUAAGCUGCCUGAGUCCCACCAUGGCCGGAUCUCGGGAGUUCUCAAUAUUCUUAACAUUUUUAAGUAACUGAGUCACGUAUUAGUUUUUAUGCUUAAAUUAACUGAUGCUAAAUACACUGGACUUGCUUUUUUUAGCUCUAACAUGUAAAGAGUUCAGAAAUAGUGACUCCCAUUUUAACAAUAAGGCAAAACCUAAAAAAAAAAAAUCCUAUAAAUCACUUACACCUAUCAGAGAACCAAAGUGACACAGUGAAAUCCCAUGGUGAUAUCUGGAGAGAGGCAAACAGAACUUGUCUGCAGUUCUGUUUGCCUCCAGCAGAUGCCUCUGUACUAUUAGAAAUCUUUAAAUAGUAAUUUCAAUGAGUUUCUGGAGGCUGAGCAUGAUUUAAAGUGAGUCAGAAACUCCUGGAGGCAACAGACUUAGGGCCUCUUCCACCCAUAUUUUCAUGGGUUUUACUUUUAGAUACUCUAUUGAGUUUCUAUGUUGAAAAUUCAAAAAAAAAAUAUUUUUUCCUGGAAGGCUGCAGAAAAUGGAGGGAAUGAGUAACCAUUUUGAAACAUUUUCAAACAUUCUCCAUACAAAGACAUAUGGUCUAAGAGCAGAGCCUUAUCUUACCUAGAGAAAACUUUACCUCUAGUCUUCCAAUCCCACCGAAGAAGCUAAAAAAUACUGGGGGGGGGGAGUCAUCACAGAGACACAAACCUACUAAAACAUUGAGAUUUAAUGCAGAGAUUUUAUGCAGAACAUUGAGAUUUUAUGCAGAAGGCUGCAAACAUGUUUCUCCUCCCUCAUAUCUUAUCAUACAAUAGAGUUGCAGUAUAAUAACCAUAGAUUACAGCUGGAAGAGCUGCAAGGUACAGCCAAUAUUUAAGGGGAAAAAAAUUCCCAAACAGUUCAUUUAGCUAUGGAUUUAUCAGUGAAUAAUGCAGUGAGGAGUUUGGCACCCCCAUGAUCUAAUUGCCUUCACAUGAAUGAAGCUUCUGGGGGAACAGUUUAGUUCUAAACCUUAAAGCAGGUAUACAUGUGAAGACCUUUUUAGAUUACUUUCUAAGGAUAUAGUGCUAACUAAACUUGUUAAACCAUAUUGUUGCUGUAGUACCAAACUGAAAAGAAGAUGCUAUGCACCAAGGAGUUGGAAGGCAACAUUUUAUUAUGUCACUGGGUUGGUGAGAACCAGUUCCAAAUCACAAGUGCUGAGUCAGUUUUGGGUUUAGCUUAUAUAGGUUUUUCAAGCAGGAAGUAUAGAAGCUUGAAAGUGGUGGGUUUUCAUUGGGUUAAGUUAAUCAUUGCCUGUUGCUGGGUAGAAAGCAUGGGAGAUAUGAUAGCAAAACAGAAUAGUUUUAGGAGAAAAAGUACAGAUAGUGCAGCUAUAUGUGGUCAAACUGACCUGAGUCAGACAUCUAUUUAAAGCAAUUGGGUAAGGCAGUUUAGUGGUCCAGUCACAUGGUGGGCAGGAUGAGUAUAACUUGUCUUGAUGUGCUAUCAGGCUCCUAGUUAGUUUUAAACUUUUAAAAUUUCUGUCACAAUUCAGUGCAUUCAUUUUUAAAGCUUGGAUUCCUAUUGCCAAUUUGCUAUACAGAAAUGCCAAUUUAUAUUUGCAAUGGAAAUUACGAGAAUGCCAUUUUCCUAUAUCUUAUUAUCCAUUUUUAAUAUGAAAAGGUCAGCCUUAAAAAGGAUAUCUUUCCCUGUGGCAUGUGGAAAUAGUCAAGUAGGUGGCAUCUGGGGGUAGAACGUUUAAGGAAUUCCUCAUAAAAGAUGCUAGUGUCUCUUUGAAAUAAACAGGCAAGGCUUAGAAGGGCUAAGCUCCUAAAGAUAGGUGGUAGGUUUGGUUUACAUGAGGAUUGAAAUCACCAUGUUAUCAAUUGCUAGAGCAAACCAGAGAGUAUAAACUGUUUAAAUCUCUCUUUCCAGAGAAGAUUUCUUUUAAGGGACAUCUUCCACCUUCAAAGAAUCUAUUUUCCUGUGUUACAAAGAUAUGCAGAAGGUGAAGCAAAAACAUGCUUGAUCUACCAUCCUAAAGCUGGAAUCUCAAUGAACAUUUGUAUUCUUACUGGGUUCCUUGAUUGAUUGAUUGAUAAAUGAAAGCUCAUAGAUACUUCUGUGUUACAUUCUAAGUGAAAAUCUUCAUAAAUAAAGACAGGAGGGAUGUUUUAAAAAUAUAGUGGAUAAACAAAGGAACAGGAAUUUAUCAAGAAUUAUUUAGUGAAUCCUGGAAACUGGGCAGCCAGAAGUGAGUGUCCACGCACCAUCCCGAGACCCAGGAGUUUGGCAUCAUCAUGUUGGUCAAUGAAUUUCCCAGCUUCCCGCCACACUCGAUUGGCUCUGCAGGUCUUGGGGCUGCCUGUGCCAACUUCAGAGCUUCCUGACACGCCUAGCCCCCCAGAGGUCUUUUGCCUGACUGUGCCCUCGAUUCUGGAAACUGGGCAGCCGGAGGUGAACGUCCCCGCACCAUGCCGAGCCCUGGGAAUUUAAGAUCAUCCUUCCCACCAGCCAAGGAACUUUCCAGCUUCCUGCCACAUUCCACCUGACUGCUUCUCCCCCAGUGACUCUCAAUCUGGGGAACUGGGCAGCCAGAAUGCCAGAAGCUAAGGGGAUAGAAGACAAUUUCCAAUAGGCCCAGGGGAAGCCUUGGAAUGACACUUGAAACACGGAAAUAUAGGAAAAUGACAAAAUGAAAGAUCAAAAUAUAAUCUCAAACCACCAGCCCAUCCCAAGAAACCUCAGGAUCUAUGUACAUAGAAGAAAAUCUAUGCCAUACACCUGAAAUAUCUGAAAUAAUAGCACUGAAGUAAAGAAGCAACUUCAGGAAGCUUUAAAGAAAUUCAAACUAGAAAUAAUCUCCCAGGUAAAAGAAGAAAUGAUAAAAGAAAUGGAAGACAUGCUGAUCACAUCUAAAGAAGACACAGUGAAAAAUUAGAGGAACAAAACAAAAAGAUAGACUCCCUGAAUGAACAGUAUAAGAAACAAACCAUACAUGAAGCAGAUUCAAAGAGAUAUACAAGAAAUCAAAAACUCCAUUGAAACUUGUUAAAACCACCUCAACGAAAGUGAAGAUACAAUUUUAGACCUUGAAGACAAGAUUGCAGCUAAGGAAUAGGAAGGAAAGAUCUUUUAAAAAAUAACAAGGUAUCUGGAAAUAACAAUUCAACAGCUGCAAGUUGAUGCAAAGAAAAACAACAUAAUAUUGAUAGGGAUAAAUGAAAAAGAAGGAGACAACACAAAGGAUAUCAAGAGGAUAUUUAGAAAAGUAAUAGCUGAAAAUUUCCCAAACAGGAGAAUGGAAACUGACAUCAGGAUCAGUGAAGCAUAUAGAAUUCCAAAUAGCCAUAACCAAAAUAAAGCUACACCCAGACAUUUAAUAAUCACCAUCCCAGAAAUCCAACAUAAGAAUAGAAUAUUAAAAGCUGUCAGAGAGAAAAGACAGAUCAUCUAUAAAGGAAAACCUAUCAGAAUCACAGCAGACUUCUCAGCACAAAGAAUAAAGUCAAGAAGAGCAUGGAGUGAAGUAUUUCAGAUCCUAAAGGAAAAUGAUUUUCAACCUAGAAUGAUGUACCCUGCCAAACUGUCCUUCAAAAUGGAUGGAGAGAUAAGAUACUUCCAUGACAAAGAACAGCUGAAGAACUUCAUGAUCACCAAGCCAACCCUGCAAAGAAUACUAAAAUACAGUUUAGAUACACUUAGGAAAAAACCACUAAGCAAGACAGAUAAUUAAACAAUGGAAAAAUAAAGAUGCAACAUAACAUGUCAACAAUAAACCAAUAUAUAACAGUUAUAAGCAUUAAUGUAAAUGGCCUCAACUCACCAAUUAAAAGAAACAGGCUGGCAGAAUGGAUCAAGAAACAACAUCCAACCAUAUGCUGUUUACAAGAAAUCCAUCUAACCCAAGAGGAAACUCACAGACUGAAAGUCAAAGGAUGGAAAAAUACUUCAUGCAACAGGAAACCAAAAAAGUAGGGAUAGCAAGUGAAAAACAAAUACAACUUACCAGAAUCUGUGGGAUGCAAUGAAAGCUGUCCUCAGAAGAAAAUUUAUUGACUGAGUUCUCACAUCAGGAAAACAGAAUGAAUACAAAUGAAUAACCUGAUGCUACACAUCAAACAUCUAGAAAAAGAAGAGCAAAUCAAGCCCAAAGCCAAAAGAAGAGAAGGAAUUAAAAAAUCAGCAGAAAUUAGUGCAAUAGAGACUAAGAAAACAAUUAAGAAUCAAUGAAUCAAAAAGUUGGUUCUUUGAAAGAAUAAAUAAAAUUGUCCUUCAAAAUGGAUGGAGAGAUAAGAUACUUCCAUGACGAAGAACAGCUGAAGAACUUCAUGAUCACCAAGCCAACCCUGCAAAGAAUACUAAAAUACAGUUUAGAUAUACUUAGGAAAAAAACCACUAAGCUAGCCAACCUUAUUUUAAAAAGGGAAGAAAAAGCUCAAAUUCAUGCAAUAAGGAAUGAAAAAGAAGAAAUCACUACAGAUUCUGUAGAAAUACAGAAGAUCAUCAACACCUAUUUUGAAAACCUCUACUCUCAUAGGUUUGGUAACACAGAAGAAAUGGACAGAUUCCUAGAAACAUAGGAAGUACCAAAGCUAGGUCAAGAAGAUGUAAAACUGCUGAAUAACCCAAUUUCUAUUAAUGAAAUUGAAAAUGUAAUUAAGUCCUUACCUACAAAGAAGAUGGAUUCACUGUGGAAUUCUACAAGAAAUACAAAGAAGACUUAAUGCCAAUACUCCUUAAACUCUUCAAUGAACUUGAAAGGGAAGCAAUCCUUUCUAAGUCAUUCUUGGAAGCAAUUAUUAUUCUAGUACCAAAACCUGAGAAAGACUCAACUAAAAAAGAGAACUACAGGCCAGUCUCCCUAAUGAAAACAGAUGCAAAAAUCCUCAAUAAAAUAUUGGUCAAUAGGAUGCAGCAAAUCAUUAAGAAGAUUAUACACCAUGACCAAGUGGGAUUCAUCGCAGGCGUGCAGGAUGGAUCAACAUAUGUAAAUCAAUAAAUGUAAUCCACCAUAUCAAUAAAGCCAAAAGUAAGAAUCACAUGAUCAUUUCUAUAGAUGCAGAAAAAGAUUUUGACAAGGUCAAACAUUAAUGAUAAGAACCUUACAGAAAAUUGGAAUAGAAAGUCUUUAACUCAAUAUGAUAAAGGCCAUCUAUGACAAACCAACAGCCAGUAUCAUAUUAACUGGCCAAUAACUAGAGGCCUUUACCUUCAAAUCAGGCACAAGACAAGGAUGUCCCGUAUCACCACUCCUAUUCAACAUAGUACUGGAAAUACUAGCCAGAGCAAUACAACAAGAGAGAGUAAUAAAAGGGGUAAAGAUAGGAAAAGAGAAAGUCAAAUUAUCAUUAUUUGCAGAUGACAUGAUACUGUACAUAGAAAAUCCCAAAACUCCAUUGAAAAACUCAGAUAUAAUAAAUUCAGCAAUGUAGCUGGAUACAAAAUCAAUACUCAAAAAGCAAUAGCAUUCCUAUACUCUAACAACAAAAUCACUGACAGAGAAAUAAGAGAAGCCACACCUUUCACACUAGCAUCCCACUCCCCAAAAAUGAAACACCUAGGAAUUAUUCUCACAAAAGUGAAAGAUCUAUAUAGGGGAAAUUAUAAUACAUUGAAAAAAGAAGAGGAACUCAGAAAAUGGAAAGAUAUCCCUUGCUCAUGUAUAGGAAGAAUAAAUAUUUUGAAAAUGGCCAUUCUCCCAAAACUGUUAUACAGAUUCAAUGCAAUCUCAAUAAAAAUACCAUCAAUGUUCCUCAUAGAUCUAGAGAAAUCAUUCCUAAAAUUCAUCUGGAACCAGAAGAGACCUAGAAUAGCCAAGACUGUUCUAACAAGCAAAGGCAAAGCAGGAUGUAUCACAAUCCCUGACUUGAAGUUAUACUACAAAGCAGCUGCAGUAAAAUCAAUAUGGUACUGGAAUAAAAACAGAGUCAAAGAUCAAUGGAAUAGAUUAGAAGGUACAACCAUAACUACAAACACACUCAACCACCUUAUCUUUGAUAAAGGAACCAAGCAGGUUCACUAGAAGAACAACAGUCUCUUUAAUAAAUGGUGUUGGAAAAACUGGCUCUCCAUUUGCCAAAAACUAAAGCUAGAACCAUACCUAUCACAGAAAUUAAACCACACAGGAAAUACUUCCCGGCAUCAAUAACUGGGAUCACCUCUUAUUAAAAAGUUUCUGCACAUCAAAAGAAAUCUUCAGCAUAGUGAAAAAAACCCCCAAAAACUGGGAAAAAAUCUUAGUCAACUGUUCUUCUGACAAAGGAUGUCUGUCUAAAACAUAAAGAAUUUAAAAAGUCGUACCACUAAAAUUCAAAGACCUGCUCCAAAAAUGGGUAUCUGAGAUUAAUGCAUAAUUCUCAGAUAAAGAAAUACAAAUGGCAAAUAAAUACAUGAAAAAAUGUUCAUCAUCAUUACUCAUUAGAGAAAUGCAAAUUAAAACCACACUGAGAUUGCAUCUCACUCCUGAAAGAAUGGUGAAGAUCAAGAAAACUACCAACAACAAAUGCUGGAGAGGCUGUGGGGAAAAAGAAACUCUCCUAUACUGUUAGUGGGAGUGUAAACUGUUGCAACCACUGUGGAGGUCAGUCUGGAGAUAACUCAAAAAGCUGAGAUUGGAAGUCCCAUUUAACCCAGCUAUUCCACUUCUGGGCACAUUCCUAGAAGAACUGAAAACAUCAUACCACAGUGAUAUUUGUGCACCCAUGUUUAUAGCAGCACAAUUUGUAAUAGCCAGAUGUUGGAAACAACCUAAGUGUCCAUCAACUGAUAAAUGGAUAAAAAACAUUGUGGCAUUUUUAUACAAUGGAAUACUACUCAGGUAUAAAGAAUGCUCACACUGAGAUGUUUAUAAAUGAAUCGACACAGCUUGAGACCAUACUCAAGUGAAAUAAAUCAAACUCAUAUGUAUAAAUGCCAAAUAGUCUCCUUAGUGUAAGAAAUGGUAAGAAUACAUAAAAGUAUGUGGUAAUCGUGAUUCCCCAUUAUAUUGCUUUGAAGCCUUGUAAUGUUCUCAUUCAUUAUUUGAAAUGGUUUUAUUCUGGGUUAUUUGAUUUUAUUGUCUGUGAUGGUAUGAACAGCUAUUUUGAAGAAAACAAGACAUAAUAGUUAGUGCUGAUUUAAUAUCAUCUUGUUUUGAAGUCCCACCAAGCUUUUGUUCUUUUGUCUCCAUCAGUUUUAUCAUGUUGUAUCUUACUGGAUUUUAUUAUAU